rnacentral:rRNA from 1 species
GAUCCUGGCUCAGGAUGAACGCUAGCUACAGGCUUAACACAUGCAAGUCGAGGGGAAACGGCAUUUUAGCUUGCUAAGAUGGACGUCGACCGGCGAAUGGGUGAGUAACGCGUAUCCAACCUUCCCGUUAAGUAGGGAAUAGCCUUGCGAAAGUAAGAUUAAUGCCCUAUGUGGUGUUUUUGAGGACAUCUGAAGAGCACCAAAGGUUUACCGCUUAACGAUGGGGAUGCGUCUGAUUAGGUUGUUGGCGGGGCAACGGCCCACCAAGCCUACGAUCAGUAGGGGUUCUGAGAGGAAGGUCCCCCACAUUGGAACUGAGACACGGGUCCAAACUCCUACGGGAGGCAGCAGUGAGGAAUAUUGGUCAAUGGGCGAGAGCCUGAACCAGCCAAGUAGCGUGCAGGAUGACGGCCCUAUGGGUUGUAAACUGCUUUUAUAAGGGAAUAAAGUUAGUCUCGUGAGACUUUUGCAUGUACCUUAUGAAUAAGGACCGGCUAAUUCCGUG